CACUGGUCGAGUCGGCCUGCGCGGAAGAUGUAACGGGGCUAAACCAUGCACCGAAGCUGCGGCAGCGACACUAUGUGUUGUUGGGUAGGGGAGCGUUCUGUAAGCCUGCGAAGGUGGCCUGUGAGGGCUGCUGGAGGUAUCAGAAGUGCGAAUGCUGACAUAAGUAACGAUAAAGCGGGUGAAAAGCCCGCUCGCCGGAAGACCAAGGGUUCCUGUCCAACGUUAAUCGGGGCAGGGUGAGUCGACCCCUAAGGC
rnacentral:rRNA from 3 species